rnacentral:rRNA from 1 species
UACGAAGGGUGCAAGCGUUACUCGGAAUUACUGGGCGUAAAGCGUGCGUAGGUGGUGAGUUAAGUCUGAUGUGAAAUCCCCGGGCUCAACCUGGGAAUGGCAUUGGAUACUGGCUCGCUAGAGUGCGGUAGAGGGUGGUGGAAUUCCCGGUGUAGCAGUGAAAUGCGUAGAGAUCAGGAGGAAUACCGAUGGCGAAGGCAGGUCCCUGGGCUGACACUGACGCUCAUGCACGAAAGCGUGGGGAGCAAACAGG